UGCAGUCGAACGAUGAAGCCCUUCGGGGUGGAUUAGUGGCGAACGGGUGAGUAACACGUGGGCAAUCUGCCCUGCACUCUGGGACAAGCCCUGGAAACGGGGUCUAAUACCGGAUACUGAUCGCCUUGGGCAUCCUUGGUGAUCGAAAGCUCCGGCGGUGCAGGAUGAGCCCGCGGCCUAUCAGCUUGUUGGUGAGGUAAUGGCUCACCAAGGCGACGACGGGUAGCCGGCCUGAGAGGGCGACCGGCCACACUGGGACUGAGACACGGCCCAGACUCCUACGGGAGGCAGCAGUGGGGAAUAUUGCACAAUGGGCGAAAGCCUGAUGCAGCGACGCCGCGUGAGGGAUGACGGCCUUCGGGUUGUAAACCUCUUUCAGCAGGGAAGAAGCGAAAGUGACGGUACCUGCAGAAGAAGCGCCGGCUAACUACGUGCCAGCAGCCGCGGUAAUACGUAGGGCGCGAGCGUUGUCCGGAAUUAUUGGGCGUAAAGAGCUCGUAGGCGGCUUGUCGCGUCGGUUGUGAAAGCCCGGGGCUUAACCCCGGGUCUGCAGUCGAUACGGGCAGGCUAGAGUUCGGUAGGGGAGAUCGGAAUUCCUGGUGUAGCGGUGAAAUGCGCAGAUAUCAGGAGGAACACCGGUGGCGAAGGCGGAUCUCUGGGCCGAUACUGACGCUGAGGAGCGAAAGCGUGGGGAGCGAACAGGAUUAGAUACCCUGGUAGUCCACGCCGUAAACGGUGGGCACUAGGUGUGGGCGACAUUCCACGUCGUC
rnacentral:rRNA from 1 species